rnacentral:rRNA from 1 species
AUGGUUCAAAAGUGAAAGACGGUCUUGCUGUCACUUAUAGAUGGAUCCGCGCUGCAUUAGCUAGUUGGUAAGGUAACGGCUUACCAAGGCAACGAUGCAUAGCCGACCUGAGAGGGUGAUCGGCCACACUGGAACUGAGACACGGUCCAGACUCCUACGGGAGGCAGCAGUAGGGAAUCUUCCGCAAUGGGCGAAAGCCUGACGGAGCAACGCCGCGUGAGUGAUGAAGGUCUUCGGAUCGUAAAACUCUGUUAUUAGGGAAGAACAUAUGUGUAAGUAACUGUGCACAUCUUGACGGUACCUAAUCAGAAAGCCACGGCUAACUACGUGCCAGCAGCCGCGGUAAUACGUAGGUGGCAAGCGUUAUCCGGAAUUAUUGGGCGUAAAGCGCGCGUAGGCGGUUUUUUAAGUCUGAUGUGAAAGCCCACGGCUCAACCGUGGAGGGUCAUUGGAAACUGGAAAACUUGAGUGCAGAAGAGGAAAGUGGAAUUCCAUGUGUAGCGGUGAAAUGCGCAGAGAUAUGGAGGAACACCAGUGGCGAAGGCGACUUUCUGGUCUGUAACUGACGCUGAUGUGCG